rnacentral:rRNA from 1 species
AGAGUUUGAUCCUGGCUCAGGACGAACGCUGGCGGCGUGCUUAACACAUGCAAGUCGAACGGAAAGGCCCUGCUUUUGUGGGGUGCUCGAGUGGCGAACGGGUGAGUAACACGUGAGUAACCUGCCCUUGACUUUGGGAUAACUUCAGGAGACUGGGGCUAAUACCGGAUAGGAGCUCCUGCYSCAUGGUGGGGGUUGGAGAGUUUCGGCGGUUGGGGAUGGACUCGCGGCUUAUCAGCUUGUUGGUGGGGUAGUGGCUUACCAAGGCUUUGACGGGUAGCCGGCCUGAGAGGGUGACCGGCCACAUUGGGACUGAGAUACGGCCCAGACUCMUACGGGAGGCAGCAGUGGGGAAUAUUGCMCAAUGGGCGGAAGCCUGAUGCAGCAACGCCGCGUGCGGGAUGACGGCCUUCGGGUUGUAAACCGCUUUCGCCUGUGACGAAGCGUGAGUGACGGUAAUGGGUAAAGAAGCACCGGCUAACUACGUGCCAGCAGCCGCGGUAAUAC